UUAUGGCCAUAUCAUGUUGAAACACCAGUUUCUGCAUGAUCACUGAAGUUAAGCAACAUCAAGCCUGGUCAGUACUUAGAUGGGUAACCACUUGGGAAUACCAGGUGCUGCAAG